rnacentral:rRNA from 1 species
AUUGAACGCUGGCGGCAGGCCUAACACAUGCAAGUCGAGCGGAAGAAGGGAGCUUGCUCCUGGAUUCAGCGGCGGACGGGUGAGUAAUGCCUAGGAAUCUGCCUGGUAGUGGGGGAUAACGUCCGGAAACGGGCGCUAAUACCGCAUCCGUCCUGAGGGAGAAAGUGGGGGAUCUUCGGACCUCACGCUAUCAGAUGAGCCUAGGUCGGAUUAGCUAGUUGGUGGGGUAAAGGCCUACCAAGGCGACGAUCCGUAACUGGUCUGAGAGGAUGAUCAGUCACACUGGAACUGAGACACGGUCCAGACCCCUACGGGAGGCAGCAGUGGGGAAUAUUGGACAAUGGGCGAAAGCCUGAUCCAGCCAUGCCGCGUGUGUGAAGAAGGUCUUCGGAUUGUAAAGCACUUUAAGUUGGGAGGAAGGGCAGUAAGUUAAUACCUUGCUGUUUUGACGUUACCAACAGAAUAAGCACCGGCUAACUUCGUG